UACGAAGGGGGCUAGCGUUGUUCGGAAUUACUGGGCGUAAAGCGCACGCAGGCGGAUUGAUUAGUCAGGGGUGAAAUCCCGGGGCUCAACCUCGGAAUUGCCUUUGAUACUGUCAGUCUUGAGUCCGGGAGAGGUGAGUGGAAUUCCUAGUGUAGAGGUGAAAUUCGUAGAUAUUCGGAAGAACACCAGUGGCGAAGGCGGCUCACUGGACUGGUAUUGACGCUGAGGUGCGAAAGCGUGGGGAGCAAACAGG
rnacentral:rRNA from 1 species